UACGAAGGGGGCUAGCGUUGCUCGGAAUUACUGGGCGUAAAGCGCACGUAGGCGGCUUUCUAAGUCGGGGGUGAAAUCCUGGAGCUCAACUCCAGAACUGCCUUCGAUACUGGAAAGCUCGAGUCCGGGAGAGGUGAGUGGAACUGCGAGUGUAGAGGUGAAAUUCGUAGAUAUGCGGAGGAACACCGGUGGCGAAGGCGGUCUGCUGGGCCAAGACUGACGCUGAGGCGCGACAGCGUGGGGAGCAAACAGG
rnacentral:rRNA from 1 species